AUUGAACGCUGGCGGAAUGCUUUACACAUGCAAGUCGAACGGCAGCACGGGGGCAACCCUGGUGGCGAGUGGCGAACGGGUGAGUAAUACAUCGGAACGUGCCCAGUCGUGGGGGAUAACUACGCGAAAGCGUAGCUAAUACCGCAUACGAACUCUGGUUGAAAGCGGGGGAUCGCAAGACCUCGCGCGAUUGGAGCGGCCGAUGGCAGAUUAGGUAGUUGGUGGGGUAAAGGCUCACCAAGCCGACGAUCUGUAGCUGGUCUGAGAGGACGACCAGCCACACUGGGACUGAGACACGGCCCAGACUCCUACGGGAGGCAGCAGUGGGGAAUUUUGGACAAUGGGCGCAGCCUGAUCCAGCCAUUCCGCGUGCAGGAUGAAGGCCCUCGGGUUGUAAACUGCUUUUGUACGGAACGAAACGCGCCGGGUUAAUACCCUGGCGUAAUGACGGUACCGUAAGAAUAAGCACCGGCUAACUACGUGCCAGCCGCCGCAGUAAUAC
rnacentral:rRNA from 1 species